GUCGAGUUCGCUUUCCUGAUUCAAAGUCGCAUUUACUUUCUUGAUUCAGAGUCGAGCUCGCUU
ensembl:miRNA ipu-mir-7561 ipu-mir-7561